UUAUGCCAGUACCAGUGAACUUGCCCAAUAAGCUUUAUUUUAGCGAAUCGUACUUUUCUAUCGUCAGUCAUUUCGUACCACUCAAAAUAGUUAUCCAUGGCUGCUCUCCAAUCAAGGUACAUACUCGGCUCUAAUUGACCAGCAAAUGUGGGGGCAUCUACUCAUACGAUACGAAGUAGUCACUCAUCAAGAUCGCGCUGGUGAUCAGGAGGAAGUUGGUUCCUAGGGGGAUGGGGAAAAGCUACAGGUGGUGUGGUCAAACCAAGCUCGGG
rnacentral:lncRNA from 1 species